AGUGAACGCUGGCGGUAGGCCUAACACAUGCAAGUCGAACGGCAGCACAGUAAGAGCUUGCUCUUACGGGUGGCGAGUGGCGGACGGGUGAGGAAUACAUCGGAAUCUACUUUUUCGUGGGGGAUAACGUAGGGAAACUUACGCUAAUACCGCAUACGACCUACGGGUGAAAGCAGGGGAUCUUCGGACCUUGCGCGAUUGAAUGAGCCGAUGUCGGAUUAGCUAGUUGGCGGGGUAAAGGCCCACCAAGGCGACGAUCCGUAGCUGGUCUGAGAGGAUGGCGCGCCCCAGAGAAACUGAGAAACCGCCCAGGCCCCUAGGGGGGGCCCAAGGGGGGAAUUUUGGCAAAGGGGGGGAAUCUUGCACCAUCCAUACCGGGGGGGUGAAGAAGCCCUUCGGGUUGGAAAACCCUUUUGUGGGGAAAAAAAACCAUCAGGUUAAACCCCCCGUGUUUGGCGGGAACCCAAAAAAAAACCCCCGGCAAAUUUGUG
rnacentral:rRNA from 1 species